rnacentral:tRNA from 1 species
GUUGUGGCUCAGUGGUCGAGCGCUCCCCUAGCAAGUUCGAGGCCCUGGGUUCAAUCCUCAGAAUGACA